rnacentral:rRNA from 1 species
AACGAACGCUGGCGGCAUGCCUAACACAUGCAAGUCGAACGAGACCUUCGGGACUAUUGGCGCACGGGUGCGUCACGCGUGGGAACCUGCCCUUAUGUUCGGAAUAACUCCCCGAAAGGGGUGCUAAUACCGGAUAAUGUCUUCGGACCAAAGAUUUAUCGCCUUUGGAUGGGCCCGCGUUGGAUUAGCUAGUUGUUAGGGUAAAAGGCUACCAAGGCGACGAUCCAUAGCUGGGCUGAGAGGAUGAUCAGCCACACUGGGAGUGAGACACGGCCCGGACUCUUCCGGGAGGCAGCAGUGGGGAAUAUUGGACCAUGGGGGAAAGCAUGAACCAGCAAUGCCGCGUGAGUUAUGAAAGCCUUAGGGUUGUAAAGCUCUUGUACCCGGGAUGAUAAUGACAGUACCGAGAGAAUAAGCCCCGGCUAACUCCGUG